CCGGCACGGGUGAGUAACACGUAUCCAACCUGCCGUCUACUCUUGGACAGCCUUCUGAAAGGAAGAUUAAUACAAGAUGGCAUCAUGAGUCCGCAUGUUCACAUGAUUAAAGGUAUUCCGGUAGACGAUGGGGAUGCGUUCCAUUAGAUAGUAGGCGGGGUAACGGCCCACCUAGUCUUCGAUGGAUAGGGGUUCUGAGAGGAAGGUCCCCCACGUUGGAACUGAGACACGGUCCAA
rnacentral:rRNA from 1 species